GCCCAGACUCCUACGGGAGGCAGCAGUGGGGAAUAUUGCACAAUGGGGGAAACCCUGAUGCAGCGACGCCGCGUGAGUGAGGAAGUAUUUCGGUAUGUAAAGCUCUAUCAGCAGGGAAGAAAAUGACGGUACCUGACUAAGAAGCCCCGGCUAACUACGUGCCAGCAGCCGCGGUAAUACGUAGGGGGCAAGCGUUAUCCGGAUUUACUGGGUGUAAAGGGAGCGUAGACGGCUAAUCAAGUCAGAAGUGAAAACCCAGGGCUCAACCUUGGGACUGCUUUUGAAACUGUGUUUCUUGAGUGCUGGAGAGGCAAGCGGAAUUCCGUGUGUAGCGGUGAAAUGCGUAGAUAUACGGAGGAACACCAGUGGCGAAGGCGGAUUGCUGGACAGUAACUGACGCUGAGGCGCGAAAGCGUGGGGAGCAAACAGGAUUAGAUACCCCUGUA
rnacentral:rRNA from 1 species